CGCAGCCGCGGUAAUUCCAGCUCCAAUAGCGUAUAUUAAAGUUGCUGCAGUUAAAAGCUCGUAGUUGAAUUUCGGGACUAAUAUGUCGGUCGUGCCUCGGUACGUACUGGCUUAUUGGUUUCUCCUUUCUGAAGAACCAUGAUGUCAUUUAUUUGGUGUCGUGGGGAAUCAGGACUGUUACUUUGAAAAAUUAGAGUGUUUAAAGCAGGCUCACGCUUGAAUACAUUAGCAUGGAAUAAUGAAAUAGGACGUUUGAUUCUAUUUUGUUGGUUUCUAGGAUCGACGUAAUGAUUAAUAGGGAUAGUUGGGGGCAUUAGUAUUCAAUUGUCAGAGGUGAAAUUCUUGGAUUUAUUGAAGACUAACUACUGCGAAAGCAUUUGCCAAGGAUGUUUUCAUUAAUCAAGAACGAAAGUUAGGGAUCGAAGACGAUCAGAUACCGUCGUAGUCUUAACCAUAAACUAUAGCCGACUAGGGAUCGGAUGAUGUUUAAUUUUUAAUGUACUCAUUCGGCGCCUUAACC
rnacentral:misc_RNA from 1 species